rnacentral:rRNA from 1 species
ACGCACGCUGGCGGCGUGCUUCACCCCUGCCAGUCGAACGGAAAGGCCCUGCUUUUGUGGGGUGCUCGAGUGGCGAACGGGUGAGUAACACGUGAGUAACCUGCCCUUGACUUUGGGAUAACUUCAGGAAACUGGGGCUAAUACCGGAUAGGAGCUCCUGCUGCAUGGUGGGGGUUGGAAAGUUUCGGCGGUUGGGGAUGGACUCGCGGCUUAUCAGCUUGUUGGUGGGGUAGUGGCUUACCAAGGCUUUGACGGGUAGCCGGCCUGAGAGGGUGACCGGCCACAUUGGGACUGAGAUACGGCCCAGACUCCUACGGGAGGCAGCAGUGGGGAAUAUUGCACAAUGGGCGGAAGCCUGAUGCAGCAACGCCGCGUGCGGGAUGACGGCCUUCGGGUUGUAAACCGCUUUCGCCUGUGACGAAGCGUGAGUGACGGUAAUGGGUAAAGAAGCACCGGCUAACUACGUGC